UUGAAAAUUUCGAAAAUAUUUUUUUUGAAAAGAUCGGAAAAUUUCACAAAUGUUUCAUAUUUAAACAUUGAAUAUCGGACCAUUAGUUGCUGAGAUAUCGACAUUAAAAAAUGGUGGGCUGUUUGGGUGAGACUUAGAAAACAUCAAUUUUCCUGUUUUUAAACCUUUGCAUUGCAAUAUCUCAGCAACUAAAGGUCGUAUCAACAAAGUCCGAAGAAGCAAAAUAUAGAGAAUUUUCUCAGCUUUUCAAAAAUAUUUUUUUCAAAAGUGGACAAACAUGUGCACUAAUUUUAAAAAAUGAAAAACUGCGACUAUUUCGAAAAAAGUUACAUAAAAAUGGCUAUAACUUGAAAACGGUGCACUUUAUCAAAAUUUCACUGAAGUACUUUUUGAUUGCAAAUUCAAUUUUAUAUCGAAAAAUGAAGUUGAAAAAUUUUUGCGACCAAAAUUUCGAUUUUUUGAAAAAAUCAGUAUUGAUUAAAAAAUUCAUAACUCGGUCAAUGAUUUUUUGCACAACCUGGAAAUUUCUGAAAAGUUGGCAUUUUAUGUCCUCUAAAACAUAUCAAAAAAUAAAAAAAAUUAAAAAUAGUGUUUUUUUGCAAAUCAAGUUUUAGUGUUAAAAAGUUAAAUAAAAAAAUCACCAAAUUUUUUUUACCCUGUAUUAUUUUUUUACAGUGUAGUCCGUAUCCAUACCUACAACUUUGCCGAAGACACCAAAUCGAUCAAAAAAUUCCUUCAAAAGAUACAGAUUUUUGAAUUUUCAUACAUCAUUUUUGUAUGGACAGCUGCCAAAUUUGUAUGGAAAAUUAUAUGGACAAACUAAUGAUGCAAAAUGGCUUCUUUGGGCAUACCGAAGGCACCAAAAAAGUUUCAGUCGGAUUAAAAAAUACAAAUAUUAAAAUUGAAGAAAAAAGACCGAUUUCGUAGAGAAUUGCUCAGGAGACAAACGCGAAGGUGACGAAUACGACGAAGAUACAUUCCGGAAGUUGCUCCAAAAGCAGCAGCUGAUCUGGGAGUCUGGUAGCUCGGAAGCUUGCGGAACCUUCCCGGAAUCGUCUACCAUGUACUGACCGAAUAAUCAACAAGUGAUGUUCAACGGAAGUGCCAACUCCUGCAAAGAUGGAUGCCCUGGCACAGGAGGUGGCCUUGAGUCUGGUAAGCACUCUGGUGGAAUUCAUCCACCGAAGGUCCAGGAACAGGUUCCGGUAACGGUGGUUGUCGCGGUCACUACAGCUCAACCAAUAUCGACAAGAAGCCUCUCUCUUCUUCAUGAAGGGUGCUGACGUGCUGUCGCAAUCACUUGCGCGCACCCGCAACCCUCCCCACUCAACCUAGUUGACUCAUGGACGAUCCGCGCAACUCCGGUUCCGGAGAAUGAUGCUUCCAAACGCGCCGCCACUCUAACAUCCCCGGAUCGAACGUGCCCGCAAGUAACAGGAUGCCCAACUCCAAUGAAACGAAGUCAACGAACAGUGCGCAGCAGCAAAAGCAACAGAUCACGAACGCAAUGAAAUACUUUUUAAUUCGUACGCUAGCAGAAUUAGGACACAAAAAACGAUGCUGGAGCAGACGUCGGAGUAGCCGAGCUUCGAUGCAGCUAGCCGUGGACAGGAUUUCAGCAGGGCAAACCUUGGAGCAAACCGAACGUCGCCCAGUCGCUUGUGGAGAUCAACAGUGCCAGUGCCGACGAAUUCUGUGACUGUUCGCAACCAUUACGUGAAGCGUUCCGAAGCGAACCGAACCGGAUGUUGGUUGUCCUGCUGAUGGCGCUCCUUACCUUGUUUCAUAAGCCUCCAGUUGUAUCAGCUAGCGCAGCAGCCACUCCCUAAGACGCUUUCGGCCAUGCUUCAGUUCACGCUGACAUUCCAGGUCGAGUGCCCCCCAACGUAUUAUUUGGUUUUGUUCCUCGAUCUGGUCGGACAAUCCGCAGGCCCCAAACGGGAAAAAAAUGUUCGGCUGAACGAUUCCUGCGUAACCUCCGUGACCUAAAGCACAACAAUGUACAAACUUGACUAUUCUGCCGAUCCGACGGCACCGCGGCGUGAACCUGGCGAGCUGCUGGACAUGAAGUGAAGACCGACAUUCGCGACGUUCCGGAGAUGGUUCCACCGUUUGUAUCUACGACGCCAACUGGACCAUAAGGCAGUCCGCUGCCGAAGAGCGUGUACAGCGAGCAGCAGGUUGAACAGACUUUCCGGUGGGGGAUAUUGGCUCGAAUUGAUUUGAAUUUAAUUUAUUGUGAAUAUAUAAUUUGGAGAUUAAUAACCCUGUUUUUCAAUCUAAUAGUUCAAUCGAAAUUUAAUUUUUCUUAAUAAGAAUCCCAAAUAAAAUCUGAAAACGCCCAAAUAUAGGCAAUAGGCAAUUUUCACCCGGUGAAACAUUUCAAUUUCGAUUUUACACGAAAUCCAGUUCGACCCCUGUUACACGAAAGUAUGUAAUCGUACCUGAACUGAAUUUCGUGUAAUCGAACUCGAUUUCGUGUAAUGCCGAUCCUCCGUGAACUACGACAAUUUUUACAACGUUCUGGAUGUUUUUAGAUUACAAAUUUCACACAAGUUACAAAACUACAAACUUAUUAAAAACAAAUUGUGUUAAGUGGACGAAAAAAGAACGAAAAAUGAGUACUUAACUAAUAGUUCGACUAUAGUCGGUGAAGGUGUUCCUCGGAACGAACAGCAACAGCAGCUUCACCAGCAGCACGCUUAACGUAGACGGUCCCAAGCUUCGUGUACACCGUCCUUCACAGCAAAAAAAAAAUCCGAUGGUAAAAUCGCAUGCAAAAGCAUGCACAUCACCUUCGUCAAAAUAAACACUUAACCUUCUCACGCCCAUGGUUACUCCAGAGCACCACUAUUUUUUGUCUUUAUCAUUAAAUUCCUCUGCAACCAUACAUUUUUUUCAAACUGGUUCAACCUGCAUUAGUUUAUAUAGAAUGUUAACUUAUCCCCAUGAAAAUUUCAUCCACUUUGGUCUAUCCAGUUACGAGUAAUGAAGAAAAACGUAAAAAAUCUCGCUUUUGCUCUGGGCGGGAAGGGGUUAAUAUUACACACUGCAUGUACCCAGCUUUAUACUUCCCCUUUCCAGCUCUUCCGCAAACAUCCGUCCUCUAGGGCACGAGAGGGAAAACGCGGCUUUUUUAAUCCCGCCGGGAGUUGAAGGUUCCGUCCUCCUCCUCCUCUUCCACAAACACGCGAGCCACACUUCCUCUAAUUAAGAUGCUCCGGGUUCCGUUCUCCUUGGCACUUAAAAAGUGGUUUCCUUAAACAAAAAUAAAAGCUGCAUAACUAAAUCCAGCGAUGCCCCGGCGGAACCUCUGUCCCAUCCUGGGAGAACUGUGCCACGCGUCGGAUUUUGAAGAGCCGAACCUGUUCUGCAAGGGGAGCGUCCAGUUCGGGUCCAGCACCCCUGUUUGAAAAAUGUCGCACGUCGUACAAGCUGUCGCGCGGUUUUGAUUUUACCGUUUCGAUAUCGAUUGGUCGAAAGGACGACAAACGGACGACAAACGGACGACAAACACUCGACAUGCCCGACAUUGUUUUUUCCAUCGAUUUUCCUUCAAUUUGACGUCACGAUUUUCGUCGACGCAGUUUGACAGUUCUCUUCAGUUGGUCUUGUUUGGACUUGAUCAAAUCAGAGAAACUUUGAACCGAAUCGAACCAAUUUACGUUGUUGAAAAGUUUCGUGUGGAUUUUGGCCGGUUGAUUGGUAAGUAGCGUUGCUUUUUUGCGAUCGACUUUAUCACAGCAAUAUUUAUAUUCCAGAUUUCCUGAUUUCGGCCUUCGUGGUGGAGGUGGAGGAGAACAGGUCACAUCGUUGCCCCGGCGGGCCAUGCCGGAAGACGGGAAGGGGAGCACCCAGUAUGUGAUCGAGGAAGCGGAUUGGUGUUUAUUGGGAGGUGGCAAUGCGUGGUUUUUAUACGGUGAGUUGUGUUUUUGAAACGAUAGAGGGGGUGUGCAUCCCAUUAGGACGACGG